rnacentral:rRNA from 1 species
CCGUGUACGUACAAGCAGUGGGAGCACGCUUAGGCGUGUGACUGCGUACCUUUUGUAUAAUGGGUCAGCGACUUAUAUUCUGUAGCAAGGUUAACCGAAUAGGGGAGCCGAAGGGAAACCGAGUCUUAACUGGGCGUUAAGUUGCAGGGUAUAGACCCGAAACCCGGUGAUCUAGCCAUGGGCAGGUUGAAGGUUGGGUAACACUAACUGGAGGACCGAACCGACUAAUGUUGAAAAAUUAGCGGAUGACUUGUGGCUGGGGGUGAAAGGCCAAUCAAACCGGGAGAUAGCUGGUUCUCCCCGAAAGCUAUUUAGGUAGCGCCUCGUGAAUUCAUCUCCGGGGGUAGAGCACUGUUUCGGCAAGGGGGUCAUCCCGACUUACCAACCCGAUGCAAACUGCGAAUACCGGAGAAUGUUAUCACGGGAGACACACGGCGGGUGCUAACGUCCGUCGUGAAGAGGGAAACAACCCAGACCGCCAGCUAAGGUCCCAAAGUCAUGGUUAAGUGGGAAACGAUGUGGGAAGGCCCAGACAGCCAGGAUGUUGGCUUAGAAGCAGCCAUCAUUUAAAGAAAGCGUAAUAGCUCACUGGUCGAGUCGGCCUGCGCGGAAGAUGUAACGGGGCUAAACCAUGCACCGAAGCUGCGGCAGCGACGCUGAUGCGUUGUUGGGUAGGGGAGCGUUCUGUAAGCCUGUGAAGGUGUGCUGUGAGGCAUGCUGGAGGUAUCAGAAGUGCGAAUGCUGACAU